AUAACCCUUUGUAAGUAUUCACAGCAUUAUUUGAUUACAGAGGUCUGCCUCAUGACAGGUGAAAUAGAGCAGGUACACGGGGUUUUAACCCGCGCCCUGUCAUCAGUUCGCCAAGCGGAAUCUGAAUUGAGGUCUCAUACAACUGACGAUGUAGAUGAUUUUGAUGCAGCCUCUUUUGUCAGUGAAACAAGGGCCUUGUUUAGAAGUAGAUCUGUGGACUCAUCACAAAGGACAGGAAAGAGAGGCAGAAAAAAAGGACGGCAAAGGGGACAUUUAUGGAAGACUCAUUUUUUCUUACUGCAAAAGAACAAUGAAGAAUUUGUACCACCACCGUCUGAACUAUCAAGACUGACAAGAAAUGGAUUAGAGAACAGAAGGAAGGAUGUUAAAUGAAAGCCGUCAAGUAACAGCAGGAAGCAAUGCAUCAGUGACCCAAUUGCAAGUUCAGGAGCAGGUGCGUAUACAAGAAUUGUCAAAUGGAAAUAUUGGUACAAGGACUUCAGAAAAUCCCAUUAUAGAAGACUACCACCAAAGAGAAAAUGAGGUUAUGCAACAACAUGCUACCAAUGCAAUGGCUGAUCUUCUAGAAAAUGAAACAUCAGAAAACAUCCCACAAAGGGCAGCUGAGACUGAGAUUCUGGACAUUGAGCAACUAUUUCAGGCUGAUAGCUUCGAAAAUGAACUGAUUGCAGCUGGCCAAUCACAGUUUCAAUUAUCAGAAUGGACUACUCAUCCAUCAACGCCUCCACCACUACCUUUCUCAUAUGUAAAUGCUGACACACCAACAGUUCAGCUCCACUAGUCUCUUCUGGGAGAAAAGGAGCAGGAGCUUGAAAGAGCUUUCUCUGAACUGGAUGUGUUAUUGGAAGAAGAAGUUACAGCUGAAGUUAAAAGACACACUGUUCUAGAAGAUGUACAAAGAAUUUACAGUAAUCAAAGUAUCAUCAAUAAACGUUUACAUGUUAACUUUAUUGGGGAAGAGGGAGAUGACUUUGGUGGGUUAACAAAAGAUCUUUUUUCUUCUUUUUGGAACAGUGCUUUCAUUCAGUGGUUUAAAGGUGAGGAUGCUCUUGUCCCAUGUAUACCAGUAAAUCAAUAUGCCAAAGCGCAGGACAUUUUUUCUGUUGUUGGUAAAGUUUUGUCACAUAUGUGUCAGCUUAAUCAUUGCGUGCCACCCAGAUUUUGUAGAUCAACACUGCUAUCUGUUGUGUUUAAUACCUCUAUGAUUGAUAGUAGAACACUGUUGGAUGACUUUAUGCUCCAUGUAACAGUACCUGAACGAACCUUGCUGCAAAAGGCUUUGAAUAGUUUUGAAAAACUAAGCAUUUCUGAAAAAUCUGAGUUGCUGACCUUUUAUUCUGUGAAUGGCAUGCACACAGUUCCUUCAGCUAAAGAUUUUAGAGAGCAACUGGUUCUUGUAGCACAAAAUGAACUGGUAAUAAAACCAAUGUUCUUGAAUUGCUUUAUAAGGCAGGCUAUUCCAGAGUCUCAUAUGAGAGCAUUUUGGUCACAGUUAGAUACAGACUUAAUUUCGUACCUGUACUGGCAGGAGAUGCCUACUGCAAACCGUGAUUUGCAGUGUAUAACAACUUCUGAAAAUGACCUGAAACCUGAAGAAGUUGCUUAUUACUAUUUACGUGACUUCAUCAAGUCAGUGGAUCAGGAUGAAAUGUCCAAAAUUCUGCAUUUUGUUACAGGAUCCCCAUUACUGCCAAACGAUGGCAUUACAAUAGUAUUUAAUAGACUUUGUGGUAGCCUGAGGGACCUAUUGCACACACUUGUAGCAAUACACUACAGAUACCAGUAAGCUAUGCUUCAGUACAGGACUUCAAACGAGAAAUGAAAUCCAUUCUAAAUUCAGAGAAUGCAUUUAUGACAAUGAUUUAAGGUAGUGGUUAGAAUCACAGCAGCUAUAUCUGAAGUCAAGUGACGUGAAGAAUCAUUUGACAAGGGAUGUUUUUAUAUAAAAAAAAAUAUUUUACUUGUAAAUGCCCAACUACUUAAGCCUCCUUCUUUCAUAAUGAUUUGUAAAGCCUUGAUAGCAUGACUUCCCAGGAACACCACAGCGUAAAGCCUAUAAAAAAAGGAGGGUCAGCAAUCAUUUGAGAUAAAAUUUAUAGUUUUCUGUUCCAAUUCCCUUUUAAUCCAUUCCAAUUACUUUUAUGACA